rnacentral:rRNA from 1 species
ACCUGCGAAGGCAAGCGGAUCUCUUAAAGCCGUUCUCAGUUCGGACUGUAGGCUGCAACUCGCCUACACGAAGCUGGAAUCGCUAGUAAUCGCGGAUCAGCACGCCGCGGUGAAUACGUUCCCGGGCCUUGUACACACCGCCCGUCACACCAUGAGAGUCUGUAACACCCAAAGCCGGUGGGAUAACCUUUAUAGGAGUCAGCCGUCUAAGGUAGGACAGAUGAUUAGGGUGAAGUCGUAACAAGGUACC